rnacentral:ncRNA from 1 species
GAAAGGUUUGGUCCUGGCCUUUGCGUUAGCUGUUAGUAUACUUACACAUGCAAAUAUCCGUACUCCGGUGAGUUUCGCCCUGAAUUUCCGUAAGCUAGGAAAAAAAGGAGCAGGUAUAAAGCACACUAAAACUAAGUCAGUAGCUAAAAACAUCAAGUCUAACCACACCCCCACGGGAAACAGCAGUGAUAAAAAUUAAGCAAUAAACGAAAGUUUGACUAAGUAAUACUAAUUUAGGGUUGGUAAAUCUCGUGCCAGCCACCGCGGUCAUACGAUUAACCCUAGUUAACACAAAACGGCGUAAAGAGUGCUAAUACUAUCAAUAAAGUAAAACUAAAGUCUAAUUAAGCUGUAGAAAGCACCAAUUAGAGCGAAAAUAAACCACGAAGGUAAUUUUAUAAAUACUGCAGCACUAAAGCUAUAGAACAAACUGGGAUUAGAUACCCCACUAUGUGUAGCCGUAAACUUAAAUAGAUACAAUAACAAAUCUAUUCGCCUGAGGACUACAAGCAACUGCUAGAAACUCAAAGGACUUGGCGGUGCUUUAUACCCACCUAGAGGAGCCUGUUCUAUAAUCGAUAAACCCCGAUCUACCUUACCACUUCUUGCUAAUUCAGCCUAUAUACCGCCAUCCUCAGCUAACCCUAAAAAGGAACAUUAGUAGGCACAACCAUUAUAAUCUAAUAAAAAAGUUAGGUCAAGGUGUAGCCAAUGAAGUGGAGUGAAAUGGGCUACAUUUUCUGGUGACAGAAUAUUACGGAGUCCUCUCUGAAACACAGAGGAUGAAGGAGGAUUUAGAAGUAAGUUAAAAAUAGAGUGUUUAACUGAACAGAGCAAUGAAGCACGCACACACCGCCCGUCACCCUCCUCAAUAUCCCAUCACAACCUAAAUUAUACCUAAUAACAAGUUAGUAUGAGACUAGAGGAGACAAGUCGUAACAAGGUAAGCGUACUGGAAAGUGCGCUUGGAAUAAU